rnacentral:rRNA from 1 species
UGCUGCCUCCCGUAGGAGUCUGGACCGUGUCUCAGUUCCAGUGUGACUGAUCAUCCUCUCAGACCAGUUACGGAUCGUCGCCUUGGUAGGCCUUUACCCCACCAACUAGCUAAUCCGACCUAGGCUCAUCUGAUAGCGUGAGGUCCGAAGAUCCCCCACUUUCUCCCUCAGGACGUAUGCGGUAUUAGCGCCCGUUUCCGGACGUUAUCCCCCACUACCAGGCAGAUUCCUAGGCAUUACUCACCCGUCCGCCGCUGAAUCCAGGAGCAAGCUCCCUUCAUCCGCUCGACUUGCAUGUGUUAGGCCUGCCGCCAGCGUUCAAUCUGAGCCAGGAUCAAACUCUAAUCGAAUUCCG